rnacentral:rRNA from 1 species
UACGAAGGGGGCUAGCGUUGUUCGGAAUUACUGGGCGUAAAGCGUGCGCAGGCGGUUGUGCAAGACCGAUGUGAAAUCCCCGGGCUCAACCUGGGAAUGGCAUUGGUGACUGCACGGUUAGAGUGUGUCAGAGGGGGGUAGAAUUCCACGUGUAGCAGUGAAAUGCGUAGAGAUGUGGAGGAAUACCGAUGGCGAAGGCAGCCCCCUGGGAUAACACUGACGCUCAUGCACGAAAGCGUGGGGAGCAAACAGG